rnacentral:rRNA from 1 species
GUACCGUGAGGGAAAGGCGAAAAGAACCCCGGCGAGGGGAGUGAAAAAGAACCUGAAACCGUGUACGUACAAGCAGUGGGAGCCCCACCACCAAAGCAUUCUCUGGUGUUGAAGGCCCUGCAAAGCAGCAUCGCGGUGGCGGAGCGUCGUUUGCGACGCCCAACACACAAAACAAGCGGUGAGUGCUUUGGGGUGGGGUGACUGCGUACCUUUUGUAUAAUGGGUCAGCGACUUAUAUUCUGUAGCAAGGUUAACCG